GACGAACGCUGGCGGCGUGCUUAACACAUGCAAGUCGAGCGGUAAGGCCCUUUCGGGGGUACACGAGCGGCGAACGGGUGAGUAACACGUGGGUGACCUGCCCUCAGCUCUGGGAUAAGCCUGGGAAACCGGGUCUAAUACUGGAUAUGACUCCAUGACGCAUGUUGGUGGGGUAGGAAAGCCUUGUGCGGCUGAGGAGUCGGGCCCGCGGCCUAUCAG
rnacentral:rRNA from 1 species